rnacentral:rRNA from 1 species
GACGAACGCUGGCGGCGUGCUUAACACAUGCAAGUCGAACGAAGUGGCGAACGGGUGAGUAAGGCGUAAUCAACCUGCCCUUCAGAGGGGGACAACAGUGGGAAACGACGGCUAAUCCCGCAUACUGAAGGAGGGGAUUGCGGCUGAGUAGAUAGUUGGAGGGGUACCGGCGCACCAAGGCGAUGAUCAGUAGCCCGUCUGAGAGGAUGAACGGCCACAUUGGGACUGGGACACGGCCCCGCCUCCUACGGGAGGCAACAGUGGGGAAUCUUCCGCAAUGGACGAAAGUCUGACGGAGCAACGCCGCGUGAGUGAUGACGGCCUUCGGGUUGUACAGCUCUGUUAAUCGGGACGCGGUACCGGAAUAGAAAGCCACGGCUAACUACGUGCCAGCCGCCGCGGUAAUUC